rnacentral:rRNA from 1 species
AUUGAACGCUGGCGGCAUGCCUUACACAUGCAAGUCGAACGGCAGCAUGAUCUAGCUUGCUCGAUUGAUGGCGAGUGGCGAACGGGUGAGUAAUACAUCGGAACGUGCCCUGUCGUGGGGGAUAACUAGUCGAAAGAUUAGCUAAUACCGCAUACGACCUGAGGGUGAAAGUGGGGGACCGCAAGGCCUCAUGCUAUAGGAGCGGCCGAUGUCUGAUUAGCUAGUUGGUGAGGUAAAGGCUCACCAAGGCGACGAUCAGUAGCUGGUCUGAGAGGACGAUCAGCCACAAUGGGACUGAGACACGGCCCAGACUCCUACGGGAGGCAGCAGUGGGGAAUUUUGGACAAUGGGCGAAAGCCUGAUCCAGCAAUGCCGCGUGUGGGAAGAAGGCCUUCGGGUUGUAAAGCACUUUUGUCCGGAAAGAAAUGGCUCUGGUUAAUACCUGGGGUCGAUGACGGUACCGGAAGAAUAAGGACCGGCUAACUACGUG